rnacentral:rRNA from 1 species
GACGAACGCUGGCGGCGUGCUUAACACAUGCAAGUCGAACGGUAAGGCCCUUCGGGGUACACGAGUGGCGAACGGGUGGGUAACACGUGGGUGAUCUGCCCUGCACUUCGGGAUAAGCCUGGGAAACUGGGUCUAAUACCGGAUAGGACUACUGCCAGCAUGGGUGGUGGUGGAAAGCUUUUGCGGUGUGGGAUGGGCCCGCGGCGUAUCAGCUUGUUGGUGGGGUGAUGGCUUACCAAGGCGACGGCGGGUAGCCGGCCUGAGAGGGUGACCGGCCACACUGGGACUGAGACACGGCCCAGAGUCCUACGGGAGGCAGCAGUGGGGAAUAUUGCACAAUGGGGGCAAGCCUGAUGCAGCGACGCCGCGUGAGGGAUGACGGCCUUCGGGUUGUAAACCUCUUUCAGCACCGACGAAGCGCAAGUGACGGUAGGUGCAGAAGAAGGACCGGCCAACUACGUGCCAGCAGCCGCGGUAA